UCCCGGGUGAAGUAAGUGAUGCGGUCAGUGCCCUUUCUCAGUGCCUGGGGGCUAUGGGGGCCUGGAUAGGGAACAACAGGCUUCAGCUGAACCCUGGUAAGACGGAGUGGCUGUGGAUUGAUGGCUCCUCUGUAUCCGGGAAGUUGUCAUCUUUAGUUCUGGAUGGGGAAGUUGUCAUCUCUAGUUCUGGAUGGGGUUGCACUACCCCAUUCAGACCCAGUGCAGAACCUGGGGGUCCUUCUGGACUCACAACUUCUACUCAAAGAGCAGGUGGCAGUCGUGGCCAGAAGGGCCUUUGCGCAACUUCAUGUUGUGCGCCAGUUACGCACUUUCCUGGAUCAAGAGGCCCUCCGAACAGUCAUUCAUGCCCUGGUCAUCUCCUAUAUUGACUACUGCAAUGCACUCUACAUGGGGCUACCCUUGAAGAGUAUCUGGAAGCUUCAGCUGGUCCAGAAUGCAGCCACACGGGCAGUUAUGGGUACC